rnacentral:rRNA from 1 species
GACGAACGUUGGCGGCGUGCUUAAUACAUGCAAGUCAACUGAAGCAGUGGUAGCAAUAUCGCUGUGGAGGUGGCGCACGGGUGAGUAACACGUAGGUAAUCUGCCUUCAGGUCUGGCAUAACUCCGGGAAACCGGGGCUAAUAGCAGAUGAUGCAGCGGCUCGACAUCGAGACGGUUGUUAAAGCUAUGGCGCCUGAAGAUGAGCCUGCGUCUGAUUAGCUAGUUGGCGGGGUAACGGCCCACCAAGCCAACGAUCAGUAGCUGGUCGGAGAGGAUGAUCAGCAACACUGGAACUGAGACACGGUCCAGACUCCUACGGGAGGCAGCAGUAAGGAAUAUUGCUAGAUGGGAGAAAUCCUGAAGCAGCAACGCCGCGUGAGGGACGAAGGGCUUUUGCUUGUAAACCUCUGUAGUGAGAGAAAAAAAUCCCAAUCUUUGGGACAUGAUGGUAUCUCAAAAGUAAGCCCCGGCUAACUACGUG